GUUGCCAUCAGGUAAUGCUAGGGACUCUAAAGGAACUGCCUACGCAAGUAGUGAGGAAGGCGGGGAGUGACGUCAAAUCAGCACGGCCCUUACGUCCAGGGCUACACACGUGCUACAAUGGCCGAUACAGAGGGCAGCUACCUGGUGACAGGAUGCAAAUCUCCAAAGUCGGUCUCAGUUCGGAUCGGAGUCUGCAACCCGACUCCGUGAAGUUGGAUUCGCUAGUAAUCGCGCAUCAGCCAUGGCGCGGUGAAUACGUUCCCGGGCCUU
rnacentral:rRNA from 1 species